UAUGUGAUCGUCUCUCGCAUAUCAAUAAGCGGAGGAAAAGAAACUAACAAGGAUUCCCCUAGUAACGGCGAGUGAAGCGGGAAGAGCUCAAAUUUGAAAUCUUAAAGGGUUUCCCUUUACGAAUUGUAGUUUAAAGAAGUGUUUUCUGUUGAGGUUUUGGUAAAAGUUCUUUGGAAUAGGACAUCAUAGAGGGUGAGAAUCCCGUAUUUGACCUUUACUUUCAACUUUGUGAUACACUUUCAAAGAGUCGGAUUGUUUGGGAAUGCAGUCCAAAAUGGGUGGUAAAUUUCAUCUAAAGCUAAAUAUUGGCGAGAGACCGAUAGCGAACAAGUACCGUGAGGGAAAGAUGAAAAGAACUUUGAAAAGAGAGUUAAACAGUACGUGAAAUUGUCAAAAGGGAAGCGUUUGACACCAGUGUUGUUUUUCUGAAAAUCAAUUAAAGAACUGUUUAUGCUAAGCUGUUUAGACUUUAUCAGCUAUCUGUUUAGUUUUGAGCUUUUCUUUAAUGCACUUUUCAGUUAACAAGUCAACAUCAAUUUCUUUUGCUGUAAAAAAGCUUGAGGAAGGUGGCUUGAGAUUCGUCUUAAGUGUUUAUAGCCUCUUGCCUAUGCAGUCGGAGAGAUUGAGGUCUGCAGCGUAGAUCCUUCGGGGCUAAAUGCAUUUGUGCUAAGUUAUAGCACUUUAUAGACAACUUGUUGACUAUGAUUUGUCUUGUAGCUUACUCGCUUAUGUUAUUUUACCUACGCUUAGGAUGUUGAUCUACAGAGCGAGAGU
rnacentral:rRNA from 1 species